UAUAAGGGAGUUUAAGUUUUUACUUGCAACGUUUGACCACUCGUCUUAUUUAAAUUUUUUUAAAAUUAUUAAUUAUUUUAUUUGUGACUUAAUUUAUUAUCUACAGUACUUUAAACACAACUUUUUAUUUUUUAUAUUUGCAGAAAAAAUUUGAAUAAAACGAGUGGUCAAACGUUGUAAGCAAAAACUGAAAAUCCCUUAUA
rnacentral:pre_miRNA from 1 species